rnacentral:lncRNA from 1 species
AUAGCAAAUUAUGGGCUGCUCUUUUUCCUUCUCUUUACUUGGCUUCCUUUUAGCUGGUGGCCUUCUCUUGGUUUCUUAUCUUUUUCUUCUCAUGAACCGUCAGAAUUUUCUAGUGAUCAGGGCCAAGUUCUCAUCUUCUUUACUAUUGUUUGAUUUUUCUAAGUUAUCCUCUUCUUGAGCUGUUGACUUAAGGGCUAUAGUCCUCUUUCUUUUGGUUGUCUCCUCAAUGUACUGCUUCAUGGUCAGUUCAUGAGUCAUGAGGGAUCCAAGCAGUUCGUCUAAUGGUAGAACAUUCAAGUCUUUAG